CCUGCCCAAGAGAUCGGGAUAACACCUGGAAACAGAUGCUAAUACCGGAUAACAACAGAUGAUGCCUACCCUNAACUGUUUAAAAGAUGGUUCUGCUAUCACUCUUGGAUGGACCUGCGGUGCAUUAGCUAGUUGGUAGGGUAACGGCCUACCAAGGCGAUGAUGCAUAGCCGAGUUGAGAGACUGAUCGGCCACAUUGGGACUGAGACACGGCCCAAACUCCUACGGGAGGCAGCAGCC
rnacentral:rRNA from 1 species